GUUUGGAGUGCUGGAGGCUGGAGAGCUGCUUUGAGAUGAAGCACCUAUUAAGAGAAAAUCAUCAGGAUGCGUAAGAAGUCCAGAUUUAUACAAACGGUCUGUGGAUAAACUGGAUGCAGUGAACAACUGCAAUUCUCGAAGAGCGAUGGAUGGUGAUGGGCGAGCGCAGCACACUGACUGCCGGAAAGAAGUCUCGACUGGGCGAAGAGUCGCGGGAUGACGGAUUGGAGGAGAACGAGUGGGGGGACAUGGGACUAGCCAAUGGAGAGAAACCACCGUGCUGCUCCACUGGAAGAGGCAAAGAGGAAGAGACACCGCAUUAGCUUGCAAAGGCUUCUCUGGACAUAUAUACCGUAUUUCCUCUUAUAGUGGUUGUCCGAGAUAGACGGAAACUACCGUAAAGUUCAUAGAGCUACAAUUCCCCCCAACACAUUUACAACUUUUUUCCCAAUUUUUCAAUUGGCUCCAUGUUGAAGUGUCAGCUGUCAAAUCAAAUCAAAUCUGCACACGUUGAACCAUUUGGAUCUUCUCUGCUCAAGCGCACGCACUCAUCAUGGCUAAAAUUCCAUUGUAACACCUGCCGUGCUUCUAUCAAGUUAAAGGUUGUGCACAUUUUGCGGUGACGCAGUAGUUUUGUUGCUAUGUUAUUUUGUGUUGUUGAAUUUCCACAGCAGUGACUCUCCAAGAAUACCAUCGGUGGUAGACGGGCUCACACUACAGGUGGAACCUGGUGUCAAAAGUUUAGGAACCGUCCUACGACGGUAUGAUGACAGACAGGGCUGUGGCCGAGGCGGAUUUGAUGACCUUGUUGCCAGCCCUGGAGUUCCGUUUGUCCCCAUCCCCAGACAAAUGCGGGUGACGCGCCCUCCUGAGGACCAGGUCAUUGGUGGCCCGAGCCCCGAGAGGGUCGUACAGAGGCGUCAUCACAUCGCGGCCCACUGCUGCGGGAGCUAACGUGUUAACGCUCACGACUCCAGGAGAUCCAGUCCUCCAACUCUUGUCCCUCAUGCUGAAGCUUCCCAGACUCUCUCUCUUGGUCACCUUGUCCUCCCUUGAGCCCUUGUGCUCCCGACGGGACACGGAGGUGGAAACUUUAUGCUCCAGUUGAGAGAGAUGCUCCAUGCUGCUGUACACCUGAGAGGGCUGAGCGAGUGUGACAAGGUGGCAGCAGCCCAGCGGGAAGGAGGAUCAUAAUCAGAAAACGGCACAGAGGACGAGCUCGGAGAGAGAAAUGGGAGAAGUUGACAGGAGAUUCCAACCUUGCUGAAGCGAGGGGAGCAGGAGGAAAACUGUCUGAUCUCCACCGGCUCGUCAUCGUUGGUGUCGUCCCCGUCGUACGUGUUGAUGUGGUGGUAACGAUCGGAGCGUGCUGGCGGAGGUGGUAAAAAAUAUACGAGGUGUCACUUGAACGCGUAACGUGUGACAGAAUCACUGCACGACCUAAUGGAGAUGUAGCCUACUAUCAAAGUAGCUGGUGUCCUCCUCCGACUCCAGGUGAGGGACGAACUCGGCUUUCUGUCGCAGCAAACUGUUCCAGUCGAGCUCCGUGAAGAACGGGUGCUCCUUCACCUCAAACGCUCCGCCUAACACACGCGCGCGCGCGCACACACACACCCGUGAGUAAUUGUGCUCUUGGAAAAUGGCAACAGGUGGAAGAGCUGCUGCAAGUGUCAGCACCUGUGCCCAGCCUCACGAGAGGGUUGGUCUGCAGCAGGGCGGAGAUGAGGGCUUGUGCCUCCUCGGGUAAGGCGUCGUCACCGUCGGGCCAAACCAUAUCAUCUGUCGGAACAACAAAGUACAACAGAUACUCUAUUAAAUAGAAACAUCAAUGUAAAAAAAGGCCCACGUGUCAAACACCUGCUGAGAUUUUUGCUGGAAAUCUUUUUUUUUUUUUCCCAAUUACAGUGAACCCUCGUUUAUGGUGGCGGAUACGUUCCAGAUCCACCUGCAAGAGCUCCUCGGGAGUGUCUCCAAAGAAGGGCACACAGCCCACAAGGAACUCAUAGAGGAUGAUGCCCAUCGCCCACCAAUCCACCGGCUUCCCGUAGCCCUGACGGAGAAUCACCUCGGGUGCGAUGUACUCCGGGGUACCGCACACCUCAGGGACAAAAAAACAAAACAAAAAAAGCAGGGCUCAUGCAUCACGCUGACUGAUUACGACAACUCUCAUUUAUAAAGUGCAUAAACAAUGGCUAUAAUGGGAUUGCCGCAAAGACGGAAAGCGUCAACGUUUCACCGCAUCAAUCGAACAUCCCGAUGAACGAUUUGAACUCAUUUCAUCUCGUCGCCCUGCUCGUGAAGGAGACCCGGACAAAAGUACCUGCUUACCUGCUUAUCCAGGAACUCCCUGGCGUCUUUCUCAAUGUGUCCUUCGUACAAAUUGGUGGUGAGGCUCAUCAGGCCCAUUUUGGACAAGCCAAAGUCAGUCAGCUUGAUGUGGCCCAUGGAGGUGAUCAAUAGACUACAAUAGAAGAGACAAUAGCUAUUGUUAUACGGCAUCCAUAUAUUGCUGUGAUUCAUACUAGACUUUGCCCACACCUGAUACAGUAUAAAUAUAUGAGAGAGAGAAAGAGCGAGAGAGAGACAGAGAGCAUUUUUCACUUUUGUUAAUAUUCUUCUGACAUUUCAUGCAGGAGAUGGAUUGUGGCUGAUCCAAAUCAGAUUCUUUGGCCUUGGCUCGACUGAAUGCCAUUCGCAUUUGUCAAGUAUCCAAUCUUGUCUAGUUGCUGCUUUUUUUUUUGGUUUUUUGUUUGUUUGGCCAUCUAUGUCUUUUAGCUAUUGGAUAAUAUAAAAUAGAUGCUUGAACCCAUUGUGCUAUUUUUGUCAAUGAAGAUGUUUCCUGGUAACCUUGAUUUGGAUUAAACCAAAUGAACUCACCGCAGGACCAGUAUAUUCCUGUGUUCAUUAAGUCACAACCCUAUUUAACGGAAGCACGUUAAUUUGGCAAAAAUAAAAUCUUGUUUUGAAAACAUAUUUUCAUGUACAAAUUCCAUUUCAGAGCACAGUAUGUGACCAAAAAAAAAAUGUUUUCACCUAACACUGCAUAUUAAACAAAACUCAAAAAUGUAUAUGUCAAUGCUUCACUAGCUGGCCUGCGAAGCAACACAAAAUUGUAGUCAAUUAAACGAUCAUUGCUACUACUGCAGAUUUUCUACGAUUUAAAAUUGAAAACACAUAGAAUGCUAAUCAAAUUAACGUUUUUCUGAUAUAAAACUACACUGUGAACAUUUAGUUUUGCUAUCCCCACCAACCAUUUAAGAACCACUGGAUUAAAACUCACAUUAUGUAAUC